rnacentral:misc_RNA from 1 species
AGACGACGCGAAAUGGGAA